rnacentral:pre_miRNA from 1 species
UGCGGAUUUCUUGGGGACUUGUUGGUAAUACUAUGAACACGAUAAUGCCCUUCGAAAUCCUCUAU